rnacentral:rRNA from 1 species
CCUACGGGAGGCAGCAGUGGGGAAUAUUGGACAAUGGGGGGAACCCUGAUCCAGCGACGCCGCGUGAGUGAAGAAGUAUUUCGGUAUGUAAAGCUCUAUCAGCAGGGAAGAAAGAAAUGACGGUACAUGACUAAGAAGCGCCUGCUAACGACGUGCCAGCAGCGGCGGUAAGACGGAGGGGGCAAGCGUUAUCCGGAUUUACUGGGUGUAAAGGGUGCGUAGACGGCGAUGCAAGUCUGAAGUGAAAGGCGGUGGCCCAACCCCCGUACUGCUUUUGAAACUGUAUGGCUGGAGUGCAGGAGAGGUAAGUGGAAUUCCUAGUGUAGCGGUGAAAUGCGUAGAUAUUAGGAGGAACACCAGUGGCGAAGGCGACUUACUGGACUAUAACUGACGUUGAGGCUCGAAAGCGUGGGGAGCAAACAGGAUUAGAUACCCGUGUAGUC